rnacentral:lncRNA from 1 species
CUGGAAUAUGAAGAAGGCCAAACUUCUAGAGAGGCCUACAAUGGUGAAGAAGAUGAUGGUAUGACAGACAUCAAAGAAGAAAUAGAUCUAGAGGUAGAAAGAAGAAAAAGAGGAGAAUCAUACAACACUCUGUUGAAGCAACUGCAUCGAGAGGGAGUUCGUGAAGUAGACUUAUUGGGAGAACCAUUUAGGCAUUCCUUCGAUUUUUAUGUGCUGUACGGGACGCCCAAAAAGAAGAAGAGAGUGCCUCGCUCUGAAAAGUAUGGAUCACCUCCAAGAAUAAUGCCCCCUCCCACAAGUUGGGUAACUGAAGAAUAAGCAUUAGAAAACAGUAAAAAGGAAAUUCAAGAGAUAGAGGCUCAGUGCGAUAUGCUGCACGUUGACUUAUCACAAAAGGGUAACUCGACGGGGGACAAGCAGGAAGUGGAAAUAGGUGCUGCCGAAAAAGUUAUUUUCAAGCGACCAGCCAUGAAAUUGACCAAACACUUGAGACCAUUGUACGUUAAAGCUCUAGUUAACGGCAUACCUGUGACAAAAGUGCUUGUCGAUAAUGGAGCAGCUAUAAACACCAUUCCAUCUAAGAUGAUGAGGAAAUUCGCAAAGACAGAAGGAGAUAUGAUCCCAACGGAAGUCAUCCUGACGAGUUUCAAUGGAGGAGCAAUUUCAG